GAUUGAAGAACGUAGCGAAAUGCGAUAAGUAAUGUGAAUUGCAGAAUUCAGUGAAUCAUCGAAUCUUUGAACGCACAUUGCGCCCGCCAGUAUUCUGGCGGGCAUGCCUGUUCGAGCGUCAUUACAACCCUCAGGCCCCCGGGCCUGGCGUUGGGGAUCGGCGGAGCCCCCCGUGGGCACACGCCGUCCCCCAAAUGCAGUGGCGGUCCCGCCGCAGCUUCCAUCGCGUAGUAGCUAACACCUCGCGACUGGAGAGCGGCGCGGCCACGCCGUAAAACACCCAACUCUUCUGAAGUUGACCUCGAAUCAGGUAGGAAUACCCGCUGAACUUAAGCAUAUCAAUAAGCGGAGGA
rnacentral:misc_RNA from 1 species